UUUUUUUAAAAUUGGAUAUUUUUUUUUGCAUUAGAUUCGCUCGAACUUCUUUGAGGAGUAAAGGUAACCGAUUUUCAAUUCAAUUUAAUUCAUGGACAAACACUAGAAACCUAAAAUAGAAAAUCAUUAGUGUUUUUUAUAACCUUAAUAAAGAGCUAGAAAUUUCGUAUUUUCAAAAAUUCUAAUUCGUCUUCGAGAAAAAUUGUUUUCAAAUUCUCAUUUGCUUUACGAGUGCAACAAAGACAGUCCUGUUUAUUAUUCUGAGUGUGAAAAAGAGGUCCGGUAGCGUAUCCCCUUAACGGAGGCUUAUAACGAGCUGUCUCGUACGAAACUGUUGGUGGUGGGUGAAGCUGUUUGGACUCAGUAACUGCCGACUGGGAAAAAAAGCUUAUGGCGGGCAUAUAUCGGGUAGUCGACUGUAAUUCUCGUGCCCAUUGCGCAUGAGUGUUUAUAUUCAUGAAUGGUCGCCAAGCAUUCGGUAUAAUUUCCAAUACAAUACACACAAUUAUCGUACGAAUUUGAUUCCUAUAGUGUUGUUAAUUAUUUUAGAUACUAAUUAAUAUCUAAAUCAUCAGAGAAAUCAAGUUAUUUAAAUAUCAAAUAUUAAUGAAUGAUCAUGGUGCGAAAAUCAAAAAAUUUAAAAAGCGUUGCGGUUCAAACAAAUUUGACAUCCGACGAUUUUGAAGAUAAAGAUUCGAUUGUUUUGAAGGAUUCGACAAUAAAAUCAACAAAUAAUUGCAAAGUAAUAACAAUAAAACAAAAACCCAAAAGAAAAAGUUAUUCAUAUGAAGAAAAAUUGAAAGUUAUUAAAUUACUUAAAUACAAAUCUACAGAUAAAGUUAGCGAGGAACUAGAUAUUGAUAAGUCGCUACUGUGUAGAUGGGCUAGAGAUGAAUCAAAAAUAAAAGAAUUCAAUGCUCAUAAUCAUAACAAAAAACUUAAGAAAGGCAGGAGUGCUGCUAAUGAGGAGAUGGAAGAAAGACUAUUCUCUUGGUUCUGUGAAAGCCGCGCUGAUAAUAUUCCAAUAUCUGGUAAUUCCAUUAAAAAAGAAGCAUUAAGAUUAAGUGAAGAAUUAGGCGAUUCCUCUUUUAAGGCGAGUGCUGGUUGGUUAGCUCGAUGGAAAAAACGAUAUACAGUUAAAUUACAGCCCGCCAGUGAUUAAUCUCGAUCAAAAUUAAUAUUUAUGAACCUCCUGUUGAUUAUUCGCAACCAUUGAAGAAUAUUGUGAUCCAGAAUUCAAAAAAGACAACAAUUUUGUAAUGAUUGAAGAUUCCACUGACUGAGAUCAUAAAAAUUGUCAUUGGCAAUCACAAUCUAGAUACAACUUGAACUAUCAGGUGACUAGUCUACUUGUACUGCCGCAGCCUCACAGAGAAUGACCAGCAAAUUGACAUAAACUGAUACACAAGCCAACUCAUUGCAUUCAACAGCAGCAAGCGACAGCAGACUUCCAGCUUAUCAACUUGGCUAUCAGAGAAUAAAAUCAGCUAAACCUUGUGAAUUAAGACGCCUUCAUCGAUGCCCAGAAAUUCAUAGAAAUCAAAGUAAUAUUUGGAUGAUACUGGGGAUUGAGACUUGGUUUGAAAAAAGUUCUAUGAGUGAUAAUUUUCAGAAGACAAUAGAUGUCAUCAAGCAAUUUUAAUAGAUCGCGUGUCAAAGUUGAAGGCAUUUAAGUUCUUUGUCUCCGAAUGUAACUUCUAGUUCAACAUCUAGACCAGGGAUUCCAGCACGAAAAGUUCAAUGUGAAUCUCAAUUCACGAAGGACAAGAUCAGGAAAUGUUUAUACUGUUUUCUAAAAGCAAUAAUAUUCUGGUUGGCUGAAGCAAGAGAGGAAAUAUCUCACGAUCUACAAGACUGAUGGAAAUGUAGAUCUGUCUUUUAGAUUCAAUUAUCGCCGGAUCAAACAGUAUAUAAUGCAUUAGAACGAAAAAAAAUGAAGUAGGAGAAAGUAAAUAUUUUGCAUAGUGAUUUUUUAAAUUAAUAAUAUAGCGUAGGGUGGGUCAAAAAAAAUAACUAAUUUUUUUUUUCUUUAGUUACCGUGAAAAUAUCGUUAAAGAUGAUGAAAAAAAAAAUUCUGGUAAAGUUUGAGCUCUUAAUAUCAAUAUUAAGAGGUGGCGAAUCGUGAUUCUUGAUUUCUCAUUUAAAUAACAUGGAAAAAAAUUUUUUUUAAGUUUGGAAUUUUAUAUCUUGACAUUGGCUCAUUAUACAGAUAAGUUCGAGACAGAUAUUUGUAAAGAAUUGAAUGCUCCAGACAGAUAUUUAUAAAGAUUUGAAUGCUCCACAAAAAAAGUCUGUUAUUAUUUUUUGAUAAAUCCAUCUGUUCAAAAGUUAUGAAAGCUUGAUGUCAAAUUUAUCGUGAAUUUCUAGAUCUUUUUACUUUUCCGAUGAAACUAUCAGACUUAUUACAAAAUGUCAUGAAAUUUUUUUUGUAGACAAUUUUAUUCUCUACAAAUUAUCUCUGAUAAAGUUUUUUAAAACUCCGCAUUGUUUUCUAGUUAUUUCCAUUUCAAUGCCAAGCUCUUAAAAAAAGGAGUGUUCAGAUCGAUUUCAGAAGCUUGACAUUAAAAUGAAAAUAAUUAGAAACCAAUGCGGAAUUUCAAAAAACUUUAUAAGAGGUAAUUUGUAAGGAAUAAAAUUUUUUACAACAAUGAUCUUGUGACAUUUUGUGAUAAGUCUGAUAGUUUCGUCGGAAAAGUAAAAAGAUCUAGAAAUUCAUGAUAAAUUUCACAUCAAGCUCUAAUAAUUUUUUUAGAGAUGGAUUUAUCAAAAAAUGAUAAGAGACUUUUUUUGUGGAGCAUUCAAUUCCUUACAAAUAUCUGUCUCGAACUUAUCUGUAUAAUGAGCCGAUGUCAAGGUAUAACAUUCCAAACUUAAAAAAAAAUUUUUUCCAUGUUAUUUCAAUGGGAAAUCAAAAAUCACGAAGCAACAUCUCUUCAUAUUAAUAUUAAGAGCUCAAACUACCAGAAUUUUUUUUUUCAUUAUCUUUAACAAUAUUUUCACAGUAACUAAAGAAAAAAAAAUUAGUUCUAUUUUUGGCCCACCCUAAUACAGAGGUCUAUUAAACUGACACUGACUACGGAACCUAAUCAAGAAUAACAAGACCAGAUUAUCUAUCUAUAGGCAAUCAAUCAUAGCGACAAUUAAUUCGACUAUUGUGUAAUCUAAUCAAGUCUGAUAUUGCUAAAGAUUUAGAGCUCUUGUGUUGCUGUAAUUACUUGUAAUAGUUCUCAUUUUUUACACGCUACAUUGAUAUUCAUUUUGGUGUUAAAUAUAACGAUAUAAAUUGAAUUUUUCGAAUAAUUUAUAGAUAACAUUCGAUUUCAAUAGGAGGUUUGUUGGACUUAAGAAAAACCGUGCUAUCAUGGGCCCGUUUUACAAUCCGUGAUUUUAUUAAUCUAGAAGUAAAUUAUUAUUUAAUUGCUGGCAUCGUAUAUUUACAAUAUAUAUAAAUAUACUAGAAAUAUUAAUGAAAUCUCGAAUUGAAAACACUGGCCCAGGUCAUCAUUAUUCAUAAGAAUAAUAAUAACAGCACUGCUUGUGAUGGCGUGUAAAAUACUUGUAAAUAUAUUUAAUAGAAUAUAAGUUAUAAUUAUUUUUUUAUUUUCAUUUAUAUAUUUUAGAACACAUUAUUUUGUAUAAUAAUAUGUUUAAUUAACUCAAAAAUUUAUUUUAUUUUUGGAAUAAAAAAUAACUGAGUCAGAAACCAGAACAUGGUCAAUAACUGGGCUACUUAAAAUAUUUUUCUACAGAUUUAAUAAUUUUUAUUUUGUAAUAUAAUACUUUAUCAAUAAUUAUAAAUAUCAAAAUAAAGCUCAAUUCAUCUACUAUUCAUAUAAAUGAUUUUGUUAAAUUAUUUUAAUAAACAAAAUAUAUAAAGAGAAUUACUAGA